rnacentral:rRNA from 1 species
UACAUGGGGUGCAAACGUUGUUCGGAAUUACUGGGCGUAAAGCGUGUGUAGGUGGCUGCGUAAGUCGGAUGUGAAAGCCCUGGGCUCAACUCAGGAAGUGCACUCGAUACUGCGUAGCUCGAGUACCGGAGAGGUUGGUGGAAUUCUCGGUGUAGAGGUGAAAUUCGUAGAUAUCGAGAGGAACACCUGUGGCGAAGGCGGCCAACUGGACGAGUACUGACACUGAGACACGAAAGCGUGGGGAGCAAACAGG